UAUGGAAUUACAUGAACAUGGCCAGGAUCUGCCUGUCCAAGAAACCAUGAAGUGACUGUCUGCUUAUGGACAUCUUUGUUGAAGGUGGCAUACCCACAGACGGCCAGGAAGUGACUAGAGGAUGUACUCCAGUAAAAUGAAGGAAUAAACCAAGAAAGAAAAAGACAUGAGAUCCAAUAAGCAAAAGACCCGACUCAGAAAUCAGGCAAAAGGACUACCUGGAUGACAGAAUGGGAAACUACCAGAACGAUUUACUGGGCAGUCGGCUCAGAUGGAGCAGUGGAUGACAACUUGUUGGGGAAAAAUAGAACAUAUAGGUUACUUGAUGUAUUUAAAGACACUUUACGGCUCUGUUGGAGAGUCCAGUAUUGAAUUAGUGAUAGAUACACAGAAAA
rnacentral:lncRNA from 1 species